GAAUUCAUCUCAAAGGAACCGCAUACUGGUCCCUGCAUCACAUAUCACUAACGUACAUGCUAGGUAUAUGAAGCUGGAAUCAUUGAACUUUUGUGAUUGAGCGGCUUGACACACCAUGCAACAACUUUGCAAAACCAAGAAAACUAAGCUUUCCAUCAGUGUGUCUGAUCCAGUCAAGAAGAACAGCAUGAACAGGAACAGAUGGACCAAGA
rnacentral:misc_RNA from 1 species